UUUGGUUUUGUAGUUAAUAAACCAGUGUCAAGUAUUCCGUGUGUCUUACGACAUUCUAGUACACUUCUUAUUUUUGAUAAAUAAUGGGUAAGCACAUAGACUGUUCUUAAAUGGCCGGCAUAUCCCCUAUGUGGGAGGGAUCAUCGCCAUUUCCCAUAAGCUCUGUUCAAACAACAGCUGUUCAUCGGAGAUAUUACGCUGUACUUCUUCCACACCCGAGAUGGACAGCGUUCGAGACCGAGAUGGUAGCCUCUUCCCACCAACCACUUGAACUGAAAGAUUUCGAAAUUUAUUGUUUUCAUAGUCCAACCAUAAGUCCAGAACGUGCUGCUUUGUGAGACUAUUCUACGUUUGUAUUUGCUCUUCCUUUCGAUUAAAGAGGUACCCAGUGGCUACGAUCUCACUCCGAUUCCGCAUUACGUCUUCGUCCAAGCUGGGGUCGCGUAGUCGAUGUCGAGUCGAGUCCACAAUCAACUCUACCGGAUCCAUCAGGAACUCCACUGAGAUCAUCUGGUCCAAUUUGCUAGUUGUUUUUUACAAUAGUAUUCGUAUCCUUGAGCUUUAAGGUUUAUCUUCACUCAGCUAGUGUCCAGUGAGAAUGGAUUAUCUGAUUUUUGGCUAUUGUAAGUGGAAAGGACUUGUUGCAUUGUCUCACGCGCUUUUUCUUGAGUAAAGCUUCCCUGUAUGAGUC
rnacentral:sRNA from 1 species